rnacentral:rRNA from 1 species
GUGGGGAAUAUUGCACAAUGGGCGAAAGCCUGAUGCAGCAACGCCGCGUGAGUGAUGAAGGCCUUCGGGUCGUAAAACUCUGUCCUCAAGGAAGAUAAUGACGGUACUUGAGGAGGAAGCCCCGGCUAACUACGUGCCAGCAGCCGCGGUAAUACGUAGGGGGCUAGCGUUAUCCGGAUUUACUGGGCGUAAAGGGUGCGGAGGCGGUCUUUCAAGUCAGGAGUGAAAGGCUACGGCUCAACCGUAGUAAGCUCUUGAAACUGGGAGACUUGAGUGCAGGAGAGGAGAGUGGAAUUCCUAGGGUAGCGGUGAAAUGCGUAGAUAUUAG